rnacentral:misc_RNA from 1 species
GCAUAUCUAAUUUGAUGUGAACCCAAGCAGAAAAUAAAUGAGAGAGAGGCAGUGAUCUGAUGUUAGGAAGAAGGGAAAACAAUGAAAUUAGACAAAAAUAAAAUAGAUUAAAAAUCAGAAGCAUAACAUGAAAUGAAUGAUUAAUUGACUAACGACCUGAAAAUCUAUGCAUUCAAAGUUAUAUCACAAUGCAAUGUGUUCACCACAAUAUAACAUCAAUUUGAAGGAAAUAUUUUUAUUGAGAAAUUACUUGAUAACGACAAGUUUUUAAGCUCAAUUUACAACAACUGAGAUGAUUAGCUGAACCGUAGAAAAAUAGUACCUUCUUCUAAAGCUCAGCAAUCCACUAGUCCUCCGCCCCUUGCUGGAGAAGGAAAUGAUGGCAAAACUCAAUUCCUUUUCCCUUCCGCAGCUGCAUAUUAUGAGAACCCGCAACAAGAGGUACAGUUCUUUACACAGCUAACAACUCCACAUGGAUGUUGUCCAAGAACCCACUGUCCACUGAUACAAUCUCGCCCUCCAAUCUCUUUCUUUGCCGGUAAAUUUGCAGUGUUGGGCGCUACCGGCUAGCUUGAUUAGCGGAAACAUGACAAUCUGAUGCUUUUAAUGGCUGUGCAUGCUAUACAAUUGACAAUUUUUUCACGGGAAGGUUCGUGUAGUUUACAAGUUGACGGAAAAACAAUGGGUAGAGGAAAAAGUGUCCCUGUCGUUUAUGAUCGAUAAGAUUGGGAAAGUUUCCUUUCCACAGGAAUCAUAUCUGUCUGAAAGACACAAAAAGUUUCCGUCCAAAUUAAAAAAAUAAAAAAUAAAAAAUGAACCUGCGGUCUUCAAUCAAUUGGUUACUAGCAACUGGAAGAAGAUUGACAAUAAUUUCUCUCAGUUCUCUCUUUUCCUCUCCUCUCUCUUUCUGUUUCUUGUUUCCAUCCCUUUCUAUUCUUUUCUCUGUUACCAAGCAGAUAUUGGAUUGAAUUAGAAUUCAAUCCAAUAUCUAGUGGUAUUAAAAGUAGCGAUGUGCUGAUGCAUUGAUGCUAUAAAAAGUUUCUUGUUUUUUUAUGGAAACCGCCUGAUUAUUCUUUAGUAUGGCUAUCUUUGGGGCCUUCUGGCAUGUGGGGAGUUCUGAAGAGCAGAAAAGGAGACAUUUCUUCUUCUAUUUUGCUUGUCCAAAGGUGUCAUGGAAUCAAAUGAAGCUACAAUAUUAGCCAUUAAAAAAGAGCCGAGUAACCCAUAAAAGAGAUUUACUGUAUCCUUUCAAAGUCUUAUAAUUAUUGUUAAUUGCUGAAUUAAAUUAUCUAAGGAAUUGGCGCUAAGAUGUUGAUUUCUCCAGUGAGUUCAGAUGUCUCACUAGUACUUGUUCUGCACCCAGAAAGGCCUUCACAUAAAGAGUGGGUCAGUGCUCACACAGUGGAAGCAAAAUUUUUAAGCAAGCCUGUAUUCUAUGAUAGGCUUUCAAACCUGGACCAAACUAAACUUACAGUAAAAUAUUAGCUCAGGUGCAGGUGCUAAUAGGAAUGGAGGAACUAAACCCAUUUCCUUCAGAAUAAUGGGCGAUUGUGAGAAUAAAGCGUUAACAAAUUAAUUCUUGUUUCCUUGUAAAUUCGUGAGCAUGAACUUUAAAUGAUUCUGGCUUUUCAAUCUGACAGGUAGUUUUCGAGGAUGCUGUGGGGCGUCUAUACUCUAUAGCCAGAUUUAGUUAUUGAAGCUAUUGUGGAAUCUGAAGAUGUGAAGAAAAAGUUGUUUCUUCAACUUCAUAAGAUUGUUAAAGUUUCGGCCAGUUUGGCUUCUGAUACAAGUUCUAUCUCCAUAACUCAUCUUGCAUCUGCAACUAACAGAUUGUGUCAUUAUUUCUUCUUUUGCCCUUAAUUUACCUUAGAACAUCUAAUAAGAAUACUUGCAUAAAUUAACUAAUUGUCUCUUGUACCAACUUUUGCACAGGUCUCAAGGGACUCUGGAGUUUCUGUUUUCCUUUUCAUCAUGGUUAUGUAUUGAUCUCAACAUAAUAUUCUAACUAGGUCGAAAAAAACUUAUUAUCUGAAACAUAAUUGGCAUUCAAAUGAUUAUUAUUAGUAUUCUCCAUAUAUACAAAAUUAAAAAAUAUAUUCUGGCGGUGCUUCAUUCUCUGUUUCCCCUAUGUUUUAAGUUGCAAUAAGCAAGUACAAUCCUCUUUUAUUGCUUUUAUUUAAUUAAUUGUAAUCCUCUGUUUUAAGUUGCAGGAGAACGUUCAUACAGGAAUAAAGUUAGGAACAAACCAUCCAAUUGGUCCUUUAAAGCUUGCAGAUUUUUGGAACAUUGAUAGUGUAGUAUUUUGCCAAUAAUGCAAUGCUUUAUCAAUUACCAUUUACUCCAACUGUGUUGUUUUCUGCCUUUGCAUUCUUGUAAAUUAAGAACAAGUUCUAUAGAAAAGUCCGCAGAAUUUUAUGAAUCAUCUGAUGCU